rnacentral:misc_RNA from 1 species
GAAAUGCGAUAAGUAAUGUGAAUUGCAGAAUUCAGUGAAUCAUCGAAUCUUUGAACGCACAUUGCGCCCGUCAGCAUUCUGGCGGGCAUGCCUGUUCGAGCGUCAUUUCAACCCUCAGGACCCCCCUUUCGCGGGGAGGGACCUGGCGUUGGGGAUCGGCCCGCCCCCCGCGGCGGCGCCGUCCCCGAAAUCUAGUGGCGGUCUCGCUGCAGCCUCCCCUGCGUAGUAGUUACAACCUCGCAUCGGAGCGCGGCGCGGCCACGCCAUAAAACCCCCGACUUUCUGAACGUUGACCUCGGAUCAGGUAGGAAUACCCGCUGAACUUAAGC